UACGAAGGGGGCUAGCGUUGCUCGGAAUCACUGGGCGUAAAGCGCACGUAGGCGGCUUUCUAAGUCAGGGGUGAAAUCCUGGAGCUCAACUCCAGAACUGCCUUUGAUACUGGAGAGCUUGAGUCCGGGAGAGGUGAGUGGAACUCCGAGUGUAGAGGUGAAAUUCGUAGAUAUUCGGAAGAACACCAGUGGCGAAGGCGGCUCACUGGCCCGGUACUGACGCUGAUGUGCGAAAGCGUGGGGAGCAACAGG
rnacentral:rRNA from 1 species